AUUGAACGCUGGCGGCAGGCCUACCACAUGCACGUCGAGCGAGCGGCGGACGGGUGAGUAAUGUCUGGGAAACUGCCUGAUGGAGGGGGAAAACUACUGGAAACGGUAGCUAAUACCGCAUACCAUCAGAUGUGCCCAGAUGGGAUGAGCUAGUAGGUGGGGUAACGGCUCACCUAGGCAACGAUCCAUAGCUGGUCUGAGAGGAUGACCAGCCACACUGGAACUGAGACACGGUCCAUACUCCUACGGGAGGCAGCAGUGGGGAAUAUUGCACAAGGGGCGCAAGCCUGAUGCAGCCAUGCCGCGUGUGUGAAGAAGGCCUGCGGGUUGUAAAGCACGUUCAGCGGGGAGGCGUUACCCGCAGAAGAAGCACCGGCUAACUCCGUGCCAGCAGCCGCGGUAAUAC
rnacentral:rRNA from 1 species